rnacentral:tRNA from 1 species
AAGAUCUUAAGUUAAUAAAAACUAAUAGCCUUCAAAGCUAUCAAUAUAACUGUUGCCUUUUAGAUCUUG